rnacentral:tRNA from 1 species
GGGGUUGUAGCUCAGUGGUACAGUGCUUGCCUAGCAUGUGUGAGGCCCUGGGUUCGAUCCCCAGCACCA